GAUGAAGAACGCAGCGAAAUGCGAUAAGUAGUGUGAAUUGCAGAGUUCAGUGAAUCAUCGAAUCUUUGAACGCACAUUGCGCCCUUUGGUAUUCCUUAGGGCAUGCCUGUUCGAGCGUCAUUUGAAACCUCAAGCUCAGCUUGGUGUUGGGUGUCUGUCCCCGCCUCCGCGGGGACUCGCCUCAAAAUCAUUGGCGGCCGGUACGUUGGCUUCGAGCGCAGCAGAAACGCGAACUCGAGGCCCGGCGGAUCGGCGACCAGAAGUCUCUUCUUCACAGUUUGACCUCGGAUCAGGUAGGGAUACCCGCUGAACUUAAGCAUAUCAAUAAGCGGAGGA
rnacentral:misc_RNA from 1 species